CGCAGGUUCGAAUCCUGCACGACCCACCAAUUUAACAUCAAACUCAGAUGUUGAACGUGAAGGAUAACGUUGCGUCAGCAACGGCCCGUAGGGCGAGGCGAAGCCGAGUCAUCCUGCACGACCCACCA
rnacentral:sRNA from 3 species